GGGGCUGCAGGGGCUGUAUUUUGACUUAGGCAUUAACCAGGGUAACCAAGUGAUCAAGCGCUCUAAACUGAAGAAGGAGGAAAGGAAAGCAGCAGGGCUCCUGCUGACGACCUUUUUUUGAGCAGGUGACUCCUCCCUCCUCAGCUGGGUAAUUGGAUUGCCUCGACUACUCUGUGAUGCCCAGGAGGCCUAUCCAGCAGCCGCCAUGACUCCUGUGUGGCUCCAGCUCGUGCCCAAAUAGGCUCCUUAUGAUGCACAGGGUCUCCCAAGUGGCCCCAGCUCCUGGGCUGAGUUAACAACGUCCUCGCAUGGAUUUGCUUUCCUGGAAGACCCCCGGUGGAUACAGGAGAGAGAGGAACUUUCUCCUCUCCCAGUUUCUAUAAUGAGGAUCUCCCUAGACACAGGCCUUGUCUCUCUUUACCCAUUUAUUCCUUCCACCCCUGGGGCACUGGAGUGAGUAAUCUGAUCAUAAUUUUGGAAGAAUUGCUAGGCCUCUUGUUUCAGCUCUGCUUCUUCCUUUUUGGAGUGAACCUUCCAAGAGAGUACAACACCUCUCUGUACUGUCUGUCCCGCCUGAGCCCGCCCUGGUCCAGCAAAUGCCUACCUGUGGACUCUUUUCUGUGGGCAGCAAACUCCCUGUUAUGGGAUAUGACUGGAGAAGAGAGAAUUGUCUCCUGGUGAACAGACUCCAGAAAGAGUGGCACAACCCUUUCCACCACCACCAUCCAGCCUGUUGUUCCACGACUUGCUUAACCAACCGGGGACUCAGACUUCUCACCCCUAAGUAAGAAGAGUCAAGUGAAAAAAGCUUUGAGCGCUAUCAUUUCUUGAGGCUGGAGAAGAGGUGGAAUGAACCCUGUGUUGUAUGUCUUAACAAUAAAGCAAUCAUUUCUCUCAUAACUGUUGAAUAAUUUAGGCUCUUUUUACCAGACAAGAGCUUGAUUGCAUUGCUAGGUUUCCUGACUUAAAGGAGCAAGUUAGCAAUAGUAAAAAUGGGCAAAGAAAGCUCAGGGCUGGAUGAUAAAAGGCCAGGAUA